AUUGAACGCUGGCGGCAGGCUUAACACAUGCAAGUCGAGCGGGGUGAUGGUGCUUGCACUAUCACUUAGCGGCGGACGGGUGAGAAAUGCUUAGGAAUCUGCCUAUUAGUGGGGGACAACAUUUCGAAAGGAAUGCUAAUACCGCAUACGUCCUACGGGAGAAAGCAGGGGAUCUUCGGACCUUGCGCUAAUAGAUGAGCCUAAGUCGGAUUAGCUAGUUGGUGGGGUAAAGGCCUACCAAGGCGACGAUCUGUAGCGGGUCUGAGAGGAUGAUCCGCCACACUGGGACUGAGACACGGCCCAGACUCCUACGGGAGGCAGCAGUGGGGAAUAUUGGACAAUGGGCGGAAGCCUGAUCCAGCCAUGCCGCGUGUGUGAAGAAGGCCCUAUGGUUGUAAAGCACUUUAAGCGAGGAGGAGGCUACUUUAGUUAAUACCUAGAGAUAGUGGACGUUACUCGCAGAAUAAGCACCGGCUAACUCUGUGCCAGCAGCCGCAGUAAGAC
rnacentral:rRNA from 1 species